rnacentral:rRNA from 1 species
CAGUAGCCGCGGUAAUACAGAGGAUGCAAGCGUUAUCCGGAAUGAUUGGGUGUAAAGCGUCUGUAGGUGGCUUUUCAAGUCCGCCGUCAAAUCCCAGGGCUAAACCCUGGACAGGCGAUGGAAACUACCAAGCUGGAGUAUGGUAGGGGCAGAGGGAAUUUCCGGUGGAGAGGUGAAAUGCGUUGAGAUCAGAAAGACACCAACGGCGAAAGCACUCUGCUGGGCCGACACUGACACUAAGAGAUGAAAGCCAGGGGAGAAAGUGGGAUUAGAUACCCCCGUAGUCCCUGUCUCUUAUACA